rnacentral:rRNA from 1 species
GACGAACGCUGGCGGCGUGCUUAACACAUGCAAGUCGAACGGAAAGGCCCUGCUUUUGUGGGGUGCUCGAGUGGCGAACGGGUGAGUAACACGUGAGUAACCUGCCCUUGACUUUGGGAUAACUUCAGGAAACUGGGGCUAAUACCGGAUAGGAGCUCCUGCUGCAUGGUGGGGGUUGGAAAGUUUCGGCGGUUGGGGAUGGACUCGCGGCUUAUCAGCUUGUUGGUGGGGUAGUGGCUUACCAAGGCUUUGACGGGUAGCCGGCCUGAGAGGGUGACCGGCCAAAUUGGGGAUGAGAUACGGCCCAGACUCCUACGGGGGGCAGGAGUGGGGAAUAAUGGACAAAGGGCGGAAGGCCGAUGCAGCAACGCCGGGUGCGGGAAGACGGGCUUCGGGUGGGAAAACGCUUUCGCCUGUGAAGGAGGGUGGGUGGAGGUAAUGGGGAAAGAAGCAACGGCUAAAUUCGU